rnacentral:tRNA from 1 species
GCGGGGGUAUCCGAGUGGUCAAAGGAGCACGGCUAAGGACCGUGUGGCUUAGUGCCUUCGCAGGUUCGAAUCCUGCCUCCCGCA